rfam:Desulfotomaculum putei DSM 12395 genome assembly, contig: EJ51DRAFT_scaffold00001.1
UGUUUAAAGAAGAAGCAUCCGCUUCUCACCUUACAACUGCGGUUCGUAAGGUUGCGUGUUAUACAAUAAGUCUUCCUUGUUGUAUUGCGUCUGCAAGCGGGUGUUUUGUGCCCGCUUUUAUUAUUUGCC